rnacentral:rRNA from 1 species
UACGUAGGGUGCAAGCGUUGUCCGGAAUUAUUGGGCGUAAAGAGCUCGUAGGCGGUUUGUUGCGUCGGCUGUGAAAUCCCGAGGCUCAACCUCGGGUCUGCAGUCGAUACGAGCAGACUAGAGGUAUGCAGGGGAGAACGGAAUUCCUGGUGUAGCGGUGAAAUGCGCAGAUAUCAGGAGGAACACCGGUGGCGAAGGCGGUUCUCUGGGGUGCACCUGACGCUGAUGCGCGAAAGCGUGGGGAGCGAACCGG